GACGAACGCUGGCGGCGUGCUUAACACAUGCAAGUCGAACGGAAAGGCCCUGCUUUUGUGGGGUGCUCGAGUGGCGAACGGGUGAGUAACACGUGAGUAACCUGCCCUUGACUUUGGGAUAACUUCAGGAAACUGGGGCUAAUACCGGAUAGGAGCUCCUGCUGCAUGGUGGGGGUUGGAAAGUUUCGGCGGUUGGGGAUGGACUCGCGGCUUAUCAGCUUGUUGGUGGGGUAGUGGCUUACCAAGGCUUUGACGGGUAGCCGGCCUGAGAGGGUGACAGGCCACAUUGGGACUGAGAUACGGCCCAGACUCCUACGGGAGGCAGCAGUGGGGAAUAUUGCACAAUGGGCGGAAGCCUGAUGCAGCAACGCCGCGUGCGGGAUGACGGCCUUCGGGUUGUAAACCGCUUUCGCCUGUGACGAAGCGUGAGUGACGGUAAUGGGUAAAGAAGCACCAGCUAACUACGUG
rnacentral:rRNA from 1 species